AUGCAGAAGUGGAAACCACCUCCAGAGGGAAACCUGAAGAUUAAUAUAGAUGGGGCUUUCAUCGAGGCAUCAAAAAUAGGAGGCUGGGGUUUCACGUUGAGAAAUGAUCAAGGAGUUUUAUUGGCUGCUGGUGCGGGUAAGCUGAAGCAUGUAUCUGACACGCUACACGCUGAAGCGCUUGCCCUGGAACUUGCUACAAAUAUUGCGAUCAAAAUGGGAUGCCAGCAGGUAAUUUUCGAAACGGAUUCCAUGAUGCUGAAGCAGGCAAUCACCAGUACAGAGUAUGAUUUAUCAAAGUUGGGAUCCUUAUUCCAAGAUGUAAAAUUUCAGAUGCGUGUAGGUUUGAUUGUUGUAAGCUUUGAACAUUGUAAUAGAGUGUAA
rnacentral:rRNA from 1 species